rnacentral:rRNA from 1 species
AUUGAACGCUGGCGGUAUGCUUAACACAUGCAAGUCGAACGGUAACAGGCCUUCGGGCGCUGACGAGUGGCGGACGGUGAGUAACGCGUAGGAAUCUGCCCUCAUAGUGGGGACAACGUGGGGAAACUCACGCUAAUACCGCAUACGCCCUACGGGGAAAGCGGGGAUCUUCGGACCUCGCGCUAUGAGAUGAGCCUGCGUUAGAUUAGCUAGUUGGUAGGGUAAAGGCCUACCAAGGCGACGAUCUAUAGCUGGUCUGAGAGGACGAUCAGCCACACUGGGACUGAGACACGGCCCAGACUCCUACGGGAGGCAGCAGUGGGGAAUAUUGGACAAUGGGCGCAAGCCUGAUCCAGCAAUACCGCGUGUGUGAAGAAGGCCUUAGGGUUGUAAAGCACUUUCAAUUGGGAGGAAAACCCUGCCGGUCAAUACCCGGUAGCUUGACAUUACCUUUAGAAGAAGCACCGGCUAACUCCGUGCCAGCAGCCGCGGUAAU